GACGAACGCUGGCGGCGUGCUUAACACAUGCAAGUCGAGCGGAAAGGCCCGGCUUUUGUUGGGUUCUCGUGUGGCGAACGGGGGAGUAACACGUGAGUAACCUGCCCUUGUCUUUGGGAUAACUUCUGGGAACUGGGGCUAAUACCGGAUAUGAGCUCCUGCUGCAUGUUGGUGGUUGGAAAGUGUCGGCGGUUGUGGAUGGACUCGCUGCUUAUCAGCUUGUUGGGGAGGUAGUGGCUUACCAAGGCUUUGACGGGUAGCCGGCAUGAGAGGGUGACCGGCCACAUUGGGACUACGAUACGGACCAGACUCCUACGGGAGGCAGCAGUGGGGAAUAUUGCACAAUGGGCGGAAGCCUGAUGCAGAGACGCCGCGUGCGGGAUGCCGGCCUUCGGGUUGUAAACAGCUUUCGACUGUGCCGAAGCCUGCGUGACGGUAAUGGGUAAAGAAGCAACGGCUAACUACGUG
rnacentral:rRNA from 1 species